rnacentral:rRNA from 1 species
GACAGAGGUCCCGAGCGUUAGGCGGAAUCACUGGGCUUAAAGCGUGUGUAGGCGGAUGCCUAAGUACCUUGUGAAAUCCCACGGCUCAACCAUGGAACUGCUUGGUAUACUGGUUGUCUUGAGCCACUUAGGGGCAGUCGGAACAGAUGGUGGAGCGGUGAAAUGCGUAGAUAUCAUCUGGAACGCCAAAGGUGAAAACAGACUGCUGGGAGUGUGCUGACGCUGAGACACGAAAGCUAGGGGAGCGAACGGG